AGCCUCUGUGGACCAGAUCCCUCUCAACUGAUCGGGUGCAGGCUGGGCUGCAGGCGGGUGAGUAGCUAUGCGAAACGCAUACAGCUGACUUAGGAGGUCCAGCCAGGGGGCCUCACUCAGCUGCUUCAAAGUGCUUCAAAGGAAGAAAAACCCCCAAAUGGGUCCAGGAUACUGAAUCUAGAGAGCUGCUUGGAGGAGAGGGGCAAGCCCAUCACUGGGGCUCAGACUCUUGAGUUGCAUGAGAUGGGAAAGGAGCCUGCUCCCCAGAGACACACCAGCAUCCUCCUGGCCAGCAAUCCUGGGCUGGUUUCUCAAUGUUCCCAGGUCCUCUCCAGGAAGUUAGGGUCCUCUUCCUACCUUCCCCGCCUCCUCUCUUUCUUCACUUUUUUUUCCCUUUGUUCUCUCUCUUUCCUCCUCCCCCUUCCUCUACAGCUCUUCUAUCCUGGCUGCCUGGGCUCCCAGAAGAUUUCAGGGACCACAGGACAGUGACCUCGCACUGCACAUGGAGAGCACUGGCCCCUGACACGCUUUCCCCGACCUCUGCCCUUCUUGUAACUCGCUCUCCUGGGCUGGACCCCUGGGGGGUCAGAUUUCUGACAGUUGCCAGAAAUCUGCUCUUCUGUGUGCCCUGGAGGAAGAAAACCUAAGGGUGAAAGUGCUGGGGGGUAGAGA
rnacentral:lncRNA from 1 species